ACCCUAUACUUGGUGAUCGAAACUUCUUGUUUUUUUCAUUAAGGUUCCUACAAUCGACUUUGGGAGAGUCAGAUCUCUACCCGGGACGUGAAAGUCGAUCAUCUUCAUAUUUGCUAAAGAAAUUUUCAUCAACAUGGGGCUUUUGGAUCUCUUCAUUGCGUCAACGAUUCCAGUCUUGAAAGUGCUACUGAUAACUGCACUCGGGACCUUUCUUGCUCUAGAUCGGGUGGAUAUCUUGAGGGAAGAUGCUAGGAAGCACGUAAAUAAUGUUGUAUUUUAUGUAUUCAAUCCCGCCCUUGUGGCCUCCAAACUUGCUGAAACUGUAACAUAUGAAAGCAUAGUGAAGUUGUGGUUCAUGCCAUUAAAUAUCCUCAUCACAUUUAUCAUUGGUUCAAUACUUGGCUGGAUUCUUGUUCAAUUUACGAGGCCUCCCCGACACAUACGAGGCCUCAUAGUUGGUUGCUGUGCUGCUGGUAAACUUAAAUUCAAAUGCAUGUACCGUUAUUUGGUCUAGGAUCUGCUGUCUAAGCAGGAAACUCUCCAUUUGACAUCUCUAAUAAAUUAGUUUUUCUUGGAUUUUCGUUUUCUCGUUAUGAACGUAGCUGAUUCUUCUCUUCCAAAGUAAUCCUGUAUAACUUGUGUCUUUAAAAAGUAUAUGUUCAAUUUGAUGAACUCGAAACUUUUUUCCUCCUUGCAGUAUAUUGUUUCUUGGUCUUGAAUAGUGUUUAUGUGACCAGGGAAUUUGGGGAACAUGUUUCUUAUUAUGAUCCCGGCAGUUUGUAAAGAAAAAGGAAGCCCAUUUGGAGCUCCUGAUGUCUGUCAGUCAUACGGAUUGGCUUAUGUUUCAUUUUCAAUGGCGAUAGGAGCCAUUUAUCUAUGGUCUUAUGUGUACAAUAUCGUUCGGGCUUCUGCAGCUGGAACCACCAUAGAAUCCACAAGGCACUACACAGGUCAAUCUUCAAGAGAAAGUUCUACAGCUGAAUUGGGGAGUUGUACAGAACCGCUGCUUCCUUCCAAGGAGCCCCUGGCAUCUGAACACCGUAUAGAUCAAUAUGCACUUCCCAGAACUAAGCAAAUCGAGGUUGUUCCCUGCCUGUACUCUUAACCUUCUCGCUUCUUACAUGAGUAGUUCCUCAUAUUCGUCUCUGAGACAUAAGAUUUUUAUAUACUCAUGAAAACUAUCUUUUGGAGGUUAAAGAAUUAAUCUUUCAAGUAUUGUCACAGAUGGAAGAUUCAGGCAAUAAGCAACUACUAAGUAAGCUGCUUGGAAAUAUUAAUUGGAAAACAGUAUUUGCACCAUCCACCACUGGAGCGGUAUGAGCUUGUGGCUUGAUAUUGGUCUCUUUCCUUUGCAUACACUUUCUGUAAAGAUAAUUUGAUUAGCCACAUAUGAUUCUGAAUGGAUCUGUAAAACGCCACUUUGACCCUUUGAUUUUGGCUGCGAAGCCUAUCUGAUGGCAGAAAAAGAUAUGGAAAACAGUCUUGGGAACUGAUAAUUUAAUUUAAUCAUGGGACCUCACUAGAGGCCAGUUGAUAUGCAUUUUGCUCAAGCAAAGAAUUACAACUAAACAAAUGAGUUAUCCUUGUUCCAGAUAGAAUUAUAGUCUUAUGUGUUAGCAUGCCCGUUUAAUGACUAAUGUUUUAUGAACAAUGAACUGAAUUUUAUGGGACAUAUGAUCUGAUCUUAGCAAUAGAUUGAACAUUGCCUAAAUUGUAUAAUUGCUUGCUGUGCAGAUAGUUGGAUUCAUGAUUGGACUCAUCCCAUACAUCCGGAAGAUAUUGAUUGGUGGUGAUGCUCCUCUUCAUGUAAUUCAAGACACUGCUUCCUUGCUGGGGUAAACCUAAACAAAUUGAACUUGAUAUAAUUCUAUCAACGUCCUUAUGACACAAAUAUUUUAUUUAUUAAUUUCCAAGUUCCAUGGUAUAAAGUAUCUUAUAUUCUUCUUCCUGUCAAUUUCAUUUUGCUCCUUCUUUGACUGCAGAGAUGGAGCCAUCCCAACUCUCACCCUGAUUUUAGGUGGGAACCUUUUGAAAGGUAUUCAAAAGGUUACAAUUGGAUCGUCUCCCAUCCAAUUUGGCUGUACUAGUUUGGUGUUGAGAAACUGAUGGUUACAAUUUGAUUGUCUCUUAGGCCUGCAAGGGUCAGGAAUGCAGAAGUCUAUAAUUGUUGGCAUCAUGGUUGCUCGUUAUAUUGCCCUGCCCAUAAUUGGCAUUUUCAUUGUUAAAGGAGCUCUCCGCCUAGGUUUUAUUCCUGCAGAUCCUUUGUAUCAAUUUGUUCUUCUGCUUCAAUUUGCAGUUCCACCAGCUAUGAACAUGGGUAUCCCGUUAAAUCAAUUUACAUUAUUUAUGAGAAUGAUUAUUGCACACUUUCAUUUUUUGGCUUAAAUACCAAACGAACAUGCCUCUAAAAAUCAUAGCAGAGAAUUUGUUUGCUGUUGCAGGUAAAAUGAAUUUACCUUGCAACCAAAUAGUUAGUGAUUUAUUUUUUGCUACCAAAAUUGCAGGUGUCAUCACUCAGUUGUUUGGAGCAGGUGAAACUGAAUGUUCAGUGAUCAUGCUUUGGGCCUAUGCCUUGGCUUCAAUUUCACUUACUCUUUGGUCAACGCUCUUCAUGUUUCUAAUUUGAAUGAUUCAAACCAUAAAUUAUUUCGUGUAACAGGGAAAAGAGCAAGUUAAAUACACAUUCUUUUUUCUGCAACACUUUCAUAUAUAUGCAACAAAUGGUUGGAGAGAGUGUUGAUCAGGAAGAUGUACAAUAAUUUAAAUGAACUGAGAAGAGAAAUGUGGAAUUGGAACACAGUCAUAUCAUUAGACUUAGAUUGCAAAGUUAAAUCAACUGUUACAAGACAAUAACAUCACCGAGGUAUGCAUGCUCGAGGGAAGCAAAUAGAUUUUCAAUAGAGAAUUUCCAUUGCUGGUCCUGAAACAUAAUAAGAACAAGAUUGCUGUGUUUCUUUAGAGAAUAGCCUUGUUCAGAUCGUCAAAGUAAGGAUGCUCCAUAGCUUUCUUUGCUGAGAUACGCUUUGAAGGUUCAUACCGCAACAUUUGCUGCAGAACAUUUAAAUUUUAGGUCACAACAUACUUUUGAACAAUACAUGGUAGUGAAAAUAAUAAUGUUACAACAUCCUACAGUCUGUGCAUCAGUUCAAGUCAUUGAACAUCAUCACAACUUACUGCUAAUAGAUCCAACCCAUCCUUCUCCAAAUUAGGAACAGCUGAUGAGAGACUCUGGGGACUCCACUGGGGAUACUCAUGCCAGUUGACCAAGUUGCUUACCCCUGGCCACACCUCCUCGUUUGGGGUACCUAAUAAUCUGCAUCCAAGUAUCAAAUGGAAAAAGACCACGUAGAGAGCAGGAAAAAGACCUUCCUACUACACCGGAGGGGCAGAAAUAGAAC
rnacentral:misc_RNA from 1 species